UGAAAUCUGUGAGGGGGAGAGCUUAGCUCCAGGACCUGAUUUAGCCAGGAUUUUGAAAACGCCGAGCUCAAUGGCCGUUUGCAGGGCCAUGGGCAGCACAAUGAAAGAGGACAGAAACUUCGAAUUGCUUUGCGCAUCUGGGUGAGACACGCGGAGGCUACCAUCCAUAUUCUUUCUCUCUAAGCUCUUAAGAUAUUUUCCUUUACUCUCUAUUGCUAACACACUUGGUAAAUAUGUGCUUAAAAAUAUUCAUCAGUAAUUGAUGUUGUUGGCAGCUUAUGGAGACUCAGUCCAGUAGAAAAUUGCCCAAAAUGGCAUCACUAGAUCAAGGUGAAAGAAAUCAAUGUUUUCCCCCAUUCCAGACUCAAGAUGUGAAGACUAAUGCAUUUUGAUCUUUGUAAAUUUAUAUUUUAUUUUAAUUAGUUGUGAUGUAUUAUUAUUUCU